UUCGCCUUCUUCUUUCACUUUCGUUCUUCUUCACUGUUAUACAGAAAAAAAAUCUCAUUUCUCCCACCACCGUUAUCUCCCUCGCUUCCACCACCAUCACCACAAUUUUUAUCGCCGCACCACAACUAGUACCACCACCUCUGUCACGUUCGCUACUAAUAUCAGCAGAUCUAUCAUGAUUUAUGUUCGAUUUCAAUUGAUUUUUAAAUGAGAUCCAUAGAUUGAUUUGUCUUUAGGUUUCGAUUUCGAGUUGCCGAUUCAGAUUUGUUCUUUUUUAUGUUUUCAAUUUCAACUAAUUCAUGAACCAGAUUCACAGAUCGAUUCGAGUUGUAAAUUCAGAUUUCAGAGAGAUCAAUUUGGUUUAGCAAUUGAAGAUGGUGGUAUUUGAGAAGAAACUGUGAAUGGGAAGUGAAGCUGUAAUUGUUGUUGAUGUACAGUCCUUGCGGAUGUUGCAGUAGUGGUGGUGCUGGCGGUGGUGGUGAAGGAUAUAUAUCAAAUCUCUAUUGGUGUUAUUGGUGGUGGAUGUUGCGGCAAUGGUGAUGGAUGUUUGUUGCACCUGAGGUGGUGGAGAUGGAGAAUCUGUGUGAUUGUUGUUGUGGUGGUAGUGGUAGUGUGCCUAUUUUCAUUUGUUUCAGGGAAGUUGCUUGGGGAUUCGUUAGUUGUCCAGUUAUUGGUUGCUAUGACUCAUGCAUUAGUAGUUGUCGUUAUGAUCUCCGCUGGUCAACAAACCUCUAUUGCUCAUCUUAACCUUGCUCUCACUCUUGGUCUUACGGCCAGUGGACAUAUGACUAUUCUUAGAUCCAUCCUUUAUGUUGUCGAUCAAUUAUUAGCCUCUGCAUUAGCAUGUGCUCUUGUCAAGUAUCUUACAGGUGGAUUGGUAAGGAAUUUAUCUCUAACGCGAGGUAAUGAUUUAGUAUAUGCACAUUAAAUCUAUGGGUAUAUUUGUUACGUGAGUGAUGAAAAUGUGUAGUUCCUCGAUGUUUAGUUACUUUAGCGAUGAGAAUGUGAAUAUGCACUAAAAUUGGUGUAGACAAAAUGGUAGCUGAGUUGAUGGAUUAUUGUUUAAUGUAAUACAGGUCGAGAAAUGAUUAAGAAGGGACAAGGACAGGACAUAGUUGCUCAUUACAUGCACUUAGGAAUUGAGAAUAAAUUAUUGCAGUCUUAUCUGUCAGUUUAUCUUGUAUGUUGUUGCCAUUAGUUUAUCUUGUAAGAUGUUGCCAUUUGUUUAUGCAAAUUUAUAUGUAUGAUACCAUAACAUUUAUUUCUUAUUGGAACUGUUGCUACAGUGCCUCGGCUAAAGAUGUGUAAUACCAGACCUAGAUGUAUAAUACCAGACCUAAAGGAAAGAUUUCAGGUUAUGAA